CCCUGCUCCACGCGGAGCAGCUCAAUAUACCCCGAAAGGGCCGCUGAGGCCGAGCUGAGCAAGGGGCUCCCGGCUGCGCGGCAUGAAAGCGACUUUCCAGUCGCUGCCUCCUCCAUGCUGCAUUUUUCCGAGCGAGGAUGAAAAGGAAGAGACACACAUGGGGGGGCUCACCGAGGCCCGGGAGGCACCGGGCGGGGUGGGGGCUGCACCCUGCGGGGCUCCGAUGCACCCUGUGCGGGGCAGGAGGGAAGAGAAGGGGACCCCACGGCACCCCCGCACCCCAGCUCUGCUGCGCUGCCUUCCCUCGCCUGCCACCCCGCACCCCCCGCAGGCGAGACAACCUCAGCCCCCGCCAGGUUUGGGGGAAACCGCUCGCACGAGAGAACAUGUUGUGACAUGUCAAAAGGGUGCGUGUUUUGAUAAACACGUAAUUAGUGCCAGGCUCCGUGCAGCUGGCGGGCGGGCAGCGGAGAGGAGCGUCUGCAGCGCGCCCAAUGGGCAGAGCAUUUGCGAACGGAGCCCGAAGUGAUCAUUAGGGCGAGUUGCUGGGAAGCUGCCACCAUGGCCCACUGCGCUCACAAGGAAGCAGGCAGACAGGUCACGGAGGAGACCCCGGCGCAGGGAAUCCCACAAGCCGGACUCUGGAGCCCUCCCCAGGAGGGCAGACUUGUGCAGGGGUUGGCGUGUGAGGAAGGGCCUGUUCUGACCUCCCUUGUGCCGAUGUUUACCAGCAGCACCUUGAAAACAAGGGAGGAAUACUGGGGUGAGCGGAGUCCGACCCCAGGCACGGCGUCAGUGGGGUCUUCACGCACAGGUGGAUGUGGAAGUGGGACAUAGCCGACUGCAGUCUCCACACGGCGGGGACCUCUCCCUGGCAGCGUGGAGCUCCCAGGGGGCAGACAGGCACUGCAGCACCUUCCUGCUUCUCCUUGGCUUGUGCACAAGCCCUGUUAAACCUCUCCCAACGCUGCUUCUAGUCACUGGCUUCUUGGCAAGAAUUUUGGGGCGCUUUGUGGGGAGGCAGGGCCAGCGCCAGAGCUCCCCGGCUGUGUCUCCAUCCCGCGGGCUAGUCCCCCCAAAGCCCAGUGGACCUGGUACCACGUACCACUGAUGGGGCGAGAGGGGCAGCCGCCCCCUGGAUUCCUUCGUGGCGAGAUUGUUUAUUAUUUUGCCUCUGCAGGAGCUGGGAAUCAGCAGCGCCUCCCUCAGAUUUCCCACCACCAGGCUCAAGGGGGUUUUCAGAGAUGAGAGGAAACUUCUGCUUUCCCCCAGGAACUUCCAGCCCAGGGCAGUAGCUGCAAAGCCAGCUGGCCAGGGGAGACCCAGCCUGCACGAUGGGGAUCGCGCAGGCCGAAAGGGACACAACGAGACAUGCCCAAGCCUGGGUGCCUCCCAGGGACCCCAGCACAUUGCAAGGCCCAGCCCAGCCCACUGUCUCACAAAGAGCUAGGGCAGGGCAAGGCUGCUGGCAGUGCAGCCUCCCUUGGGCUCAGGCUUUGCACGCUGAAUGCAUUUUAUCGUGGUGUCACGGGGCUAUCUGCGAUCAAGGGUCGUAUUUGCAAACACAGAGGAACAAGGCCGGGUUGCUUUGCUCGGAGGCCAUGCAGCGCGGCUUGGGGAUGGGGUGGGGAGGGGGGUGGCACAGACAGUGAUUCGGGUGACAGUAACUAUGUGCCAGUCAUCAGAUUAGUAUGCAAAAUAUGUAACCCUGCGAUGCAAUCGGAUCCCUCUGCCAGCCCGGGGGAGAGCAGAUUCCUUCCCGCUGCUCUCCUGCCAAGCUGAUUAGUCCCAUUCCAAGGGUAUCCAUGGUCAUCGGGGCGCUUAUUAUGGAUGGCCGUCGUCUGUCUGUGCAGUGCAGCUCAGACCUUGGCUCCUGGCACGGUCCCCGGCUGCGCCCCCGAGCUGGCUUCACACACCUCUUUCUUUCCUUCUCCCACCCGCAGCCCUGCACUCAGGCAAGGCCCAUGCAGGGAGCAGCCUCCAGCCUGGGGCCUGCGUGGCAGUUUGCUCUCUCCCUCUGUCCUCCCCACAUGUCUCCUGCACCCCACGUCUGUGCAUGCCCCACAGCCAUGCCCUGUAUUCUCCUGCCAUUUAGGAGUGGGGGACAGGAAGGGCAUUACAAGCCCCAGGAGAGCAGGGGCCAAGACAAGAGCACAUGCCUCUGGCAGGGCCUUAGACCCACUGUGAGGCUUGCAGUAGGGGACCUGCCGGGUGCUUGCUGGAGCUGACAGAGGGAAAAGACACUGCGGCCAGACCUGGCCAGGGUCCCAAGUGCUGGUGCCAGUGAAGUGGCGUGUUCCCGAUCUGCGGCUUUGCAGAUUCCCCCCUCUGGGGAACAGCAUGCCCCAGGGCUAAGGAGGAGGGCAGGGGCUUGCACAGAGCUGGAUCUCGGGACCCUGGCUCUGGUUUUGCAUGCAGCUGCCUGCCUCGGGCUCAGAGCUCUCCGGGGGUGGCUGGACUGACUCACUGGGGAAGGACACGGUGCUGGUUUUGCUGCCAUGUCCCGUGGCAAUGAUGGACAUUAUUGGCAGGCCGUUCACCCCUCCCCAGAGCCAAGGGGGGAUGCACUGGAAAGCCCAGCUGUCCAGGGCAGCCAGGUGCCCACUGAUAUCCCCCCCUGGCAGUCAGCCUGUCCAGACCCAGGACGGCUGCAGGAGCCUCGCAAAGGCGAGGGAAGCCCCUGUGGCCCACGGUUGUAACGCGGUGGGGGACCGGGUCCAAUGCCCAUGGAAGGCCCCUGACCCCAGCAGUCUCGGGAUCUGGAAUUGGGCCCUCAGUCGGGUCAUUACCCAGAAGCCCUCCCAACGGGGUGUCUGCUGCCUAUGGCUUCUGGACAGGCCCCAUCCUUCAGGCUGAGUGGGAGGGUGGUGGCAGCGGGGAGGGAAAGGCAGAGACCAGCAGCUUGGCCUGUGGUCAGGAGGAAAGAAGGAGCCAACUUAGCUACUCUGAGCCCGCACCACUGUAUCUGUUGUGCUAAUAAUCGGUUUUGCUAAUGCAGUCGCUACCGCGAUGCGAAAAUCCUACUGGAAAAUGUAUUAGAGCAAUUAUCCGUCUUACUGCCUCGGCCCGGCCUGGCAUUAAUAUUCAAUUUUGAUGUGGAAGCCCUAUUAUGUUAAUGACUCUGGUGACAAAAGUC